UACGGCACGAAACGUCAUGGCAGUGGCGUUUGAUGGACAAGCAGUUUUCCAAGCAUUAUUCAAUGUUGUCAGUGAAGUGAUUGAGAAGAAUUCAAUGUUUAAAUCCCAGCUUGUAGAUAUCAAAUCAGCUCUAGACUGUUUAGAACCACUGAUUGAAGUGAUACCAGAGUACGGAAAGGAAUUGGAUCGGCAAGAGGAGGAACUACAGAAGUUUACAAUACAAAUGAAGGAGGGAAUUCAGCUGAUUCACAAGUGCUCCAAAGUUCAUGCGUGGAAUGCAUACAAGAGACACAAAUACGCAAAUGAACUUGUUGAAUUGGAUAAAUCUCUACAAAGGCUGAUGGAUAUACUGAAAGUGCUUGGCAUCAGAGAUGCGAAGAAAACACUGGCUACAGUAAAGAAUAUUGAGACUAGGUUCCAGCAGAUUGAUGAGAAAUUUGUGGUACAAAAUAUUCCAUCUAAAAAAAUUGAAGCUUGGUCGGCAGUACCUGAAUUACCACCUCUUACAGUUGGACUGGAGGGGCCUUUGAAAGAAUUGAAGCUAAUGCUUCUUAAGGAUGGGUUAUCAAUGCUUGUGCUCACUGCUCCAGGAGGAUGCGGGAAAACUACAUUGGCAACUAAGUUUUGUCAAGAUGCAGAAGUGCGAGACAAGUUCAAGAACAAUAUCUUCUUUGUAACGGUAUCAAAGAAGCCCAACUUAAACCUUAUUGUACAAGAGCUUUGUCAACGCAAGGGUUCCCAGGUACCGGAUUUCCAAACUGACGUAAGUGCAGUCGACUGGCUGCAAGAAUUCGUAAAGCAAACAGAUCCUUUGCUGUUGGUUUUGGAUGAUAUUUGGUCUGAAUCCGAAUCCCUUCUUGAGAAGCUUGAUGAAUUGAAAAUUGCAAAUCACAAGAUUCUGGGGACAUCUAGAUUUGUAUUUCCAAGAUUUUGUCCUCCAUAUUAUUUAGAGUCCUUGAAUGAAAAAGAUGCAACAGCACUUUUUUAUCAUUCAGCAUCAUUGGGAGAUAGGAGCUCUCAUGUUCCAGAAGACCUUUCAAGAAAGAUAGUAGAACAUUGUAAGGGAUUUCCACUUGCCAUUACAGUGAUUGGAAGAUCACUUUGUGGGCAGCCUUUGGAGAUCUGGCAAAAAAGAGUAAUUGAAUGGACUAAAGGUUCAUCCAUUCUUGAUUCUGAUCAUCAUUUGCUUGCUUGUCUCCAAAGCAGCUUAGAUGCCUUGGAGAAAGAAAAUAGUGUCAUCAAGGAAUGUUUCAUGGAUCUUGGUUCAUUUCCUGAGGACCAAAGAAUAUCUGCUACUAUCCUCAUUGAUAUAUGGUCGGUGUUAUAUAAGAUAGAGGAAGACAUGCUUUGCAUUGGAAACGUUGAGGAACUCAACAAUAGGAGUUUGGCCACUCUUGUAGUCACAAGGAAGGACAACAAGGAGGUGGAUGGAUAUUACGCUGAACAUUUUGUUACUCAGCAUGACAUUCUUAGAGAAUUGGCUAUCUAUCAGGCAAGUCUAGGGUCAAUAGAACAAAGAAAAAGGGUAAUAAUAGAUAUCUGUGGAGAUAAUCUUCCCGAAUGGUGGAUAAAACAGAAGUAUCAACCCAUCAGCGCUCGCCUUGUAUCUAUCUCAACAGAUGGAGACUUCUCAGCUACAUGGCCUAACAUGGAAUUACCACAAGCAGAGGUUCUAAUUCUGAAUUUUCAGUCAAAGAAAUAUGCCUUACCCGAAUUUCUGGAGAAAGUGGAUAAAUUAAAGGUUCUGAUAAUCACAAAUUAUGGUGUUUUACCUGCUCAGAUAAAUAAUUUUCCGUUACUUAGGUCUUUAUCAAAUCUAAAGAGGAUCAGGUUAGAACGAAUCUCAAUACCUUCCAUAAGCAAGGACCCUGUGCAGUUGGAUAAUUUGGAAAAUAUAUCUUUAUUCAUGUGCAACGUCAGUAAAGCUUUUAGCAACUGUUCCAGCCAACUUGUAGAUCUAUUGCCAAAUGUGGUGGAAAUAAACAUUGAUUAUUGCAAUGAUUUGGUGGAACUGCCUGCCAUGCUUUGUGACCUGAUUCCCCUUAAAAAGCUUAGUAUCACCAAUUCUCACAAGCUAUCUGCCUUACCUGAAGAAAUAGGAAAGUUAGUGAACUUAGAAGUGUUGAGGGUCAGGUCUUGUACAGACUUGUCGGUGCUGCCAGACUCAAUUCGGCACCUCAAAAUGUUAAGUUUUCUGGACAUAUCUGAUUGCUAUAGUAUGAAGGAGCUCCCUGAACACAUUGGUGAAAUGUGCAGCUUAGAAACGCUAAAUAUGAGACAAUGCUCAAGACUGCAAGAGUUGCCUGAAUCAGUGUUGGAUCUUGAACAGUUGGAGGAUGUGAUUUGUGAUGAAGAGACUGAAAUAUUAUGGAAACCGUUCUUGCCCAUUCUCCAAAACAUACAUAUCAGGGUAGUGAAAGAAGAUAUUAACUUGAAUUGGCUCCACAAGUUUCCAUCUUAAAAGAAAUGUUUUCCCAGUAACUAUUGGAGUGAUGCCUCUGUAAGUUGUGCCCAGCUUUUUCUCCAUACUGCUCCACAGGGAGAAUAGUUGAGACACAGCAAUGCCUAUGAUAUUCUGUAUUUUAAUGCUAAUGUUUGUAAUUUAUUUGGGAUAUUUGUAUUUAUUAAACAGUGAGUAAACCUUCCCUGUAAAUUAUGUAGCCCAUCAUUUGACCUAUGUAGCUAGUGGUGUGAGGAAGAAUGUAUUUGGUUAUGUUGAGUUCUUGAUAGUAGGAGACUGGGAGUGAGGGUCAAGCCUCAAAGUUCUGGGUUACAAAGCCCUAAAAAAAAGAGUGUAGUAAGUCUGGAAUGUAUUAUACAACUUUUCGUUUUGUGAUCA